rnacentral:lncRNA from 1 species
AUGCACAAUACCUCGCAGGUGCUUCCAAAUGUUCCGGCAUUCUGUGGGAGACGAUCCGGAACCUCCAGGCUUCUGGCGGUCUGCAUGCCGUUCUCGGAGCUCGUGCGGCCGGAGCGGGAGGGUGUGCGAGGCGAGAAGGAUGGGGAGAUCCGAGGGGGUCUCUGCGUGGCGCCAAGAAUCUGUUGUGGGCGACGGUGCCCGGCUGUAGGGAAGAGGCCCGCGGACCCCGGCGGGUCCCUUGGCUGUUCUUCCGGAGAGCUGGGUACGAGGAGGCCUCGGUCGGAUGGAGGGAUCACGAGACGGAAGACUCUUUACUACGGGAAAGCUCUGCCUUCAGAGAUUUCUGCAUUUUUCCAAGGAAAACCAGCAAAAUAUGAAGAAGUCCUGUAAAUCUGCAAAGUUGAUAGCCAAGCAGAAGAGACUCAAGAAACCCAGGACAGACAUUUCUGGCAAGGUCCAUUUAUCAACAACAAAACACUGACUGUGCACAGAGGUAACGUAUUAGGAAACAUUUCUAAUUUCAGCACAGACACAGUUCCUUCCAUUAAAAAUACCGUGUUUUUGUAGCAACAUGGACGGGACUGGAAGAGAUUAUGCUGAGUGAAAUAAGUCAAGCAGAGAGAGUCAAUUAUCAUAUGGUUUCACUUAUUUGUGGAGNUAGAACUUUUCUCCCCUCUGUAAUCUCACUCUACUUUGCACCUGUUUUACUGUAGUAGGAUUUCAUGCUACAUGGUAGUCAGAUGCUUCAUGCUUGUGUCUGUCAGAUUAUAUGCUCCUUUAGAACAGUGUCAUGGUUUUAUUGGUUUUCAGAUUCUCAAGGUAGGAGAGUUCUUUAUGGCAUGUAGGCACAUGAUGGGAGGCCAGUAACUUAUCACACUGGUGAGGAAUGUCUGUCAUGCUUUCUCCUCCAACCAAGUAAAAGGUAGGCACGCCAGAACACAUUUUCUAAUUGUGAAUAGUGAACUCCGUAAUCGUUCUUCGACAGCUUUUCCAUGUCUUCCCAUUGUGAUUACUUAAAUUUGGACACAAAUGUGCUGUUUCAGGCAUCCUUAUCAUUUGCGGAUGUGACUGUGGGCUUUACCUAGGAGGAGUGGCAGCACCUGGACCCUGCUCAGAGGACCCUGUACAGGGAGGUGAUGCUGGAGAACUAUAGCCACCUUGUCUCAGUGGGUAAGAAUUGUUUCCCGUGUAGACUCCUAGUAUGCACUUUCAUUCUUGGGCCCAGUUCGGCCUCUGGGCUUGUUUCUGUGAAAUGAGUGCAACACUCGGUUUUCCUCAAUUUGGAGCUGCAGCAGUGCCAGCCCCAGUGAGCUGGCUCUGUGAUGACCAAGAGAGCAAGCUGUUGUGGAGGCUACUCCAAUGAGGAAGGAAGGCACAUCCUGGUUGAUCU